rnacentral:rRNA from 1 species
GAUGAACGCUGGCGGCGUGCCUAACACAUGCAAGUCGAACGAAGCAUUUAAGAUGGAGUUCUUCGGGAUGAAGCCUUUUAUGACUGAGUGGCGGACGGGUGAGUAACGCGUGGGCAACCUGCCUUACACAGGGGGACAACAGCCGGAAACGGCUGCUAAUACCGCAUAAGCGCACAGUUUCGCAUGGAACAGUGUGAAAAACUCCGGUGGUGUAAGAUGGGCCCGCGUCUGAUUAGCUUGUUGGCGGGGUAACGGCCCACCAAGGCAACGAUCAGUAGCCGACCUGAGAGGGUGACCGGCCACAUUGGGACUGAGACACGGCCCAA